UACGUAGGGUGCAAGCGUUAGUCGGAAUACUGGGCGUAAAGCGUGCGCAGGCGGUGAUGUAAGACAGAUGUGAAAUCCCCGGGCUCAACCUGGGAACUGCAUUUGUGACUGCAUCGCUGGAGUACGGCAGAGGGGGGGAUGGAAUUCCGCGUGUAGCAGUGAAAUGCGUAGAUAUGCGGAGGAACACCGAUGGCGAAGGCAAUCCCCUGGGCCUGUACUGACGCUCAUGCACGAAAGCGUGGGGAGCAAACAGG
rnacentral:rRNA from 1 species